AGAUUUUGAGUUGGUUCAAUUUAUAACUUGCAUUUAUAAGAAAUAUAUUUAAAAUAUAUAAAAUCUU
rnacentral:tRNA from 1 species